UUGAUCCCAAUUGUCGCUGCCUUGUUAGG
rnacentral:sRNA from 1 species